GGGGAUGUAGCUCAGUUGGUAGAGCAUUUGCCUAGCAUGCACAGAGCCCUGAGUUGGAUCCCAGCACCACCU
rnacentral:tRNA from 1 species